UACGGGGGGGGCAAGCGUUGUUCGGAAUUACUGGGCGUAAAGGGCGCGUAGGCGGCCUGCUAAGUCACACGUGAAAUCCCUCGGCUCAACCGGGGAACUGCGUGUGAUACUGGCGGGCUCGAAUUCGGGAGAGGGAUGUGGAAUUCCAGGUGUAGCGGUGAAAUGCGUAGAUAUCUGGAGGAACACCGGUGGCGAAGGCGGCAUCCUGGACCGAGAUUGACGCUGAUGCGCGAAAGCGUGGGGAGCAAACAGG
rnacentral:rRNA from 1 species